AAGUCAGAUGUGAAAGCCCCGGGCUUAACCUGGGAACUGCAUUUGAAACUGGUCAACUAGAGUAUGGUAGAGGAAAGUGGAAUUUCUGGUGUAGCGGUGAAAUGCGUAGAUAUCAGAAGGAACAUCAAUGGCGAAGGCAGCUUUCUGGACCAAUACUGACGCUGAGGUACGAAAGCGUGGGUAGCAAACAGGAUUAGAUACCCUGGUAGUCCACGCCGUAAACGAUGAUAACUAGCCGUUGGGGGGAUUUACCCUUUAGUGGCGAAGCUAACGCGUUAAGUUAUCCGCCUGGGGAGUACGGCCGCAAGGUUAAAACUCAAAUGAAUUGACGG
rnacentral:rRNA from 1 species